UACGUAGGGGGCAAGCGUUGUCCGGAAUUAUUGGGCGUAAAGAGCGCGUAGGCGGUCCGAUAAGUCGGCUGUGAAAGUCAGGGGCUCAACCCUUGGAAGCCGGCCGAUACUGUCGGACUAGGGUCCGGAAGAGGCGAGUGGAAUUCCCGGUGUAGCGGUGAAAUGCGCAGAUAUCGGGAGGAACACCAAUGGCGAAGGCAGCUCGCUGGGACGGUACUGACGCUGAGGCGCGAAAGCGUGGGGAGCAAACAGG
rnacentral:rRNA from 1 species